UACGUAGGGGGCUAGCGUUGCUCGGAAUUACUGGGCGUAAAGGGCGCGUAGGCGGUUUGUCCAGUCAGGUGUGAAAUUCCCGGGCUCAACCUGGGGGCGGCACUUGAGACGUAGGAACUGGAGUGAGGAAGAGGGUAGUGGAAUUCCCAGUGUAGAGGUGAAAUUCGUAGAUAUUGGGAAGAACACCGAUGGCGAAGGCAGCCAUCUGGACCGACACUGACGCUGAGGCGCGAAAGCGUGGGGAGCAAACAGG
rnacentral:rRNA from 1 species